rnacentral:rRNA from 1 species
GCAAGUCGAGCGAGAAAGUUCCCUUCGGGGAGCGAGGAAAGCGGCGAACGGGUGAGUAACACGUGGGCAACCUGCCCAGAAGCGGGGGAUAACUUGGGGAAACUCGAGCUAAUACCGCAUACGUCUUCGAGGCUCUGGUCUCGAAGGGAAAGCUGGCCUAUACACGUAAGCUGGCACUUCUGGAGGGGCCCGCGUUCGAUUAGCUAGUUGGUGAGGUAAUGGCCUACCAAGGCGACGAUCGAUAGCCGGUCUGAGAGGGCGAUC